AGUAAGAGGGGCACAAAAAAAGCAAAAGUUGGAACUGGCAAAAAGAAGUAAUUUUAUCAGUAAACAUCAAGAAUGUGGGCAUGCUGACAUGGACAUCUUUGUGUUUUACAUGUACAUAUUCGUGU